rnacentral:sRNA from 2 species
AUGACGCGCAUGGUAAUGAUCAUGAUCAUAAUGAAGCAGAGGAUGGUCCCCUGGAGACAUUUCAUCUACUUCCUCUCUUCUCAGCAUCCGUUCUAGGUAAAAAUGUCAAUGCCAGUAUCAGCUAGGCAAAUUCCGUUUCACAAAUAUCUAAAUAUCCGUUAGACUCCCUUCCUACAUACUCUCUAAUCCAUACAAUUCGUCUUUUGAUAACCACUCGUUGCGAAAUCACUCUGUCCUGGGAUCAGUUCCGAUCGCCCCAGGUCUCCCAAUUCUUGCUCAAGCCAAUUCAAUUGCAGAUCCGUGCUUCUCAUUUAUCCAGUGCCACUCUAUGCGUUGAUAGCCAAUUAUCUUCAAUACAAAAAGGAAGCAGAUUUGCGCCCGGGAAACAGCGGUGCCGGCAAUACAAGGGCUAUGGUAUGCGAAUUGCUCGCCAUCAAGUUGUUAAAGGAUUGCUCUACUCGGGAGUUGAUUGAUACUCUCUCACACGAUUUCUAUUAUCCAGUGCAGGGACAGCCGCCUCCCUUGUCAAGCAGCACCACCAACCCAUACAUUUGAAUACCAGCCAACAAUCGAAAUUAGUGCCCCCAGGAUAGUCCGAAUCCCUUGUCUCGAAAUUACCAUCCGUGCACAGGCAAACUUCUUCUUGCAUGUCCUCUUGUAGUUCAACAACUCGAAGCUAUUUGGGCAGGUAACAUUCGUGGUCCAUUUCGCUGCGGAUAGUCUACAUCGCCCAAUAGUUGCAACCAGCGCACCAUCGCCUUACAAGGGAUAUGAUUCAUUCGUCCGAACGAGCAAUAGGUAUGGCCCCGUCAAACGCAACGUCAGCCGUAGCUAGAGUUUUGCCGUUGGAACUCGUCGCUCCGUCACACUCUAUAACCCACGAGAUGCUUCGCUUUUGAAACCAUCACGGCUAAGGGUCACUCGUUAUCAACAAGUACAUACUUUCCACAAUGUCGUUCGCCAUUUUACUGGGGCUCUUUCUUGCAGUGAUUCGGAGGUGGUCUCGGGAAGUCUCUAGCCCAGAUCUUGUAUUUUGGUUUUGCAGCGCAGGAUUUAUGUUCGAUGAACUUGUAGGGUUCAACGAGCAUGGAUCCAACCUCUGAUGAACUUCUGGAACACUUUUGAUGUGGGCAUAAUGCUCAUGUUGUUUUGCUCUCAUUGUUUGAGAAUAUAUCUGAUCCACUCAAACAAUUCAUUUCAAGCAAUGCAUAUGAUAUUUUAGCCGCCAAUGCAGUUCUCCUCCUCCCACACCUCUUCUCCGUUCUCGACCACUGCCGCUAUUUUUCGCAGCUUCGAAUCGCCUUCCGUAUGAUGGCUGCUGACCUUGUUGCCGUUUUCACACACUGAUAGUCAUCUCCACUCUCAACACCAUGACCAAAAUGUUUCUUCCACUCUAGCCAUGAAACUAGGCUCCGAUAUUGGCGACAUCAAAGCCGUCGGUGGUGGUUUCAUCGGGACGAUCCCGUCCAGCUUUGUGACUAAAAUGGCAAAUACGACUAGCGGUUUACGACGGCUUGCUCCAACAAGCAUUGAGUAAAUUGGUGUUGGCGCGGUUGAAGGCGCUUGAGGAGGAUUUCGGGAGGUUAUUUGGGAGGUCAAAGGAUUGAGACGGGAGGGUGGACAUGAUCGCGAAAGCGAACAUGAGCGGGAUACGAGAAGGAGGAAAAGCGUGAAUUUUUCGAAGAAGGGGGAAUGGGGCCGGCAGUGGUUACAGUAGAGUAGGGCGAACACCAAGAUUAGGUCUGGUUCUGGUAAUUAAGGUGUCUGUGAUGGUCAAACUCGUGAAUGAUGGUAGAUGUAGGAGGAAGGUAGCCAAGCGGGAGUAAAUAUUCAGGGGCGGUGGUUCGCUGUAAUUAGUUUGGGCGUUUCGGCAUUCAUCUACAGUAUCGUGUCUGGUCGAGACUGGCGUCACUUGGUGUUUUGUGUUUUUAUAUCCUUAAAUCCUGUUUAAAGAGGAUUCUGACCUGAUACCAUAGGAUUGUAAUUGGGGCAUCGGUGUCAUUUUUGUAUUAUAGAU